rnacentral:lncRNA from 1 species
AUGUGAAGGCUGCAGAGGACCCACCAGGAUCCCCUUGGAGGACAGCAAUGGGACUGCUUGAGGUCUUUGGAAGCACUUCAGUUCAGAAUGCCUUCCAAAGAAUGAAGCCCAUCCACCCAUGGCUCAGCUAAUGGCGUUCACCGGACCAGGAACCCCGAGACCUGAAGGAGGAGCCGUGCAUCUGGAGGAACACCAUGAGGCUACCUGCCAAGUAUGACUCGAUCACCUGGGCAAGGCAUGGGGAACCAGGAUGGACCGAGGCUGAUCACCAAGCUGUUCUGAAACGCCAAAGGCCAGAGAUUAUUAUCUUAGUUUUUUGUUUUUCCUUAUAAGUAGUUCUGAUUUUCAUUCUGUGAUUUGAGGUAAUAUCUUGGGUGAUCCGAGUAGUGAGCUGUUUUUGCCCCUAUUGCUGCUACUAUAGUUUAUACAUUACUCAAUACGUUGACAUGUAAACUUAAGGUUUCAUAUUUGUUACCGCUUUACAAGUGCAAGGGUUUUUGUUACCAGAUGUUUUGACGGAACUAUCACUGUUACCAGACAUUGUGGUGAAACCGUCUUAUUGUUUUCCAGAAUAGGAGCCGUGGCGGAGGGCAGCUAAUGGCGAUCAGUGCUGGAGGACCUGCUGGGGAAGGACAUCCCCCGUGGGGUCGAGACGUCCGUCUCCGAGAUGUGAAGGCUGCAGAGGACCCACCAGGAUCCCCUUGGAGGACAGCAAUGGGACUGCUUGAGGUCUUUGGAAGCACUUCAGUUCAGAAUGCCUUCCAAAGAAUGAAGCCCACCCACCCAUGGCUCAGCUAA